CCUACGGGCGGCAGCAGUGGGGAAUAUUGGGCAAUGGAGGCAACUCUGACCCAGCAAUGCCGCGUGAAUGAAGAAGGUCUUCGGAUUGUAAAGUUCUUUAGUCAGGGACGAAGUCAAUUACGGUACCUGAAGAAUAAGCUCCGGCUAACCACGUGCCAGCAGCAGCGGUAAUACGUAGGGAGCAAGCGUUGUUCGGAAUGAUUGGGCGUAAAGGGUGCGUAGGCGGUUGUACAAGUUAGAAGUGAAAUACCCAGGGCUUAACUCGGGUGCUGCUUCUAAAAUGGUAUGACUUGAGUGCAGUAGAGGUUAGUGGAAUUCCUAGUGUAGCGGUGGAAUGCGUAGAUAUUAGGAGGAACACCAGAGGCGAAGGCGGCUAACUGGACUGCAACUGACGCUGAGGCGCGAAAGUGUGGGUAGCAAACAGGAUUAGAUACCCUUGUAGUC
rnacentral:rRNA from 1 species